rnacentral:rRNA from 1 species
UACGUAGGGGGCAAGCGUUAUCCGGAUUUACUGGGUGUAAAGGGAGUGUAGGCGGCGAUGUAAGUCAGAAGUGAAAGCCCAGGGCUCAGCCCUGGAACUGCUUUUGAAACUGCAUUGCUAGAGUGCAGGAGAGGGGAGUGGAAUUCCUAGUGUAGCGGUGAAAUGCGUAGAUAUUAGGAGGAACACCAGUGGCGAAGGCGGCUUACUGGACUGUAACUGACGCUGAGGCUCGAAAGCGUGGGGAGCAAACAGG